ensembl:lncRNA
GUGGAAAAUGGCAGAAGGCUCUGUGAGCACCCAGGAGGAAGAGUGCCCUAAAGAGUGCCCUACUGUUUAGGGUGGGAGAAGAGGACCCUAUUUCACUUUCUUGCCGCUAGCCUGGGCUGUUGAACCAGGAGGGAUGUGAUCCCCUGAAGUCCAUUCUCCCCGCACAGCCUAUUGCCAGUAACUCACUAUGGGCAGCUGUCAAGAUCAGCAGUGGAGGUUCUUGAGAAAAGUCAUGGCUUCAGCUACUGGCACCAACAAGGUGAAAGAGAUCGCCACCUGCUCCAUCUGCCUGAACCUCAUUAUGCACCCAGUAAGCAUCACCUGUGGACACAGCAACAGUCAGUGUGGUUUGAAGCUGCACCUCUGCCAGAUGUCCCAAAAGCAGGGUCAAAAGAGAUUUCCCCGUCCUGAAUGUCGGGAGCCUUUUCAUAAAGAUAGGCUGUGUUCCAACAGGCUACUGGGAACUCUCACUGAAGUUAUACAGGAAAUGGAGGAGACAGAGGAUGAGCUGCUGUGAGGCCCAUGGACAGCAGCUCCAGCUCUUCUGUAAAGAUGACAACCAGCUCAUCAGCUGGCACUGUGAGCGGGGACCACAGCACCAAGGCAUGCCCUGGUGCUGGUAGAGGAUGUGUGCCAGGGGUACAAGGAAAAUCUAGAACAAGCUCCCAGAAAGUUGAAUCAACUCAAGAGGAAUGCGUGAAUCAAAAAUGUUUAUAACAAUCCAGAUAAUGGAAGGAUAAGACAGAGAUUCAGAGACAGAAAAAUCAAGUCUGAAUUUAAGAAUCUCCACACUUUUCUGCACAGUGAGAGGGAUUCUUAUCUGUGGAGGCUGGAGAAAGAAGAGCAGAUGCUGAUGAGCCUGAGGGAGAAUGAGGCCAACUUGGAGUGGAAGAACCAUGAACUCAAGAGCCACCUCCUGGAACUAGAGGCAAAAUGUCAGAGCUCAGCCCAGAAACUGGCGCAGGUGAGGCUGGAAGAAGAAAGAGAAAUUCUGAUCCUAAGCAGCUAGAAGAAUGGUCAGUAACCAUAGGGAGAGUGGGAAGACCUGCUUUCACUCUAAUGUGGGCAUCAGUGUGGGAAUUUAGGUAUAUUCCACAUCAGUACUAUCAGCGGAGCUCCAUUAGUCUAUGAGGUCUCUGUAUGUGAAAUAUAAAAGCACACUUCCCCACAGCAUGGUGCUCCACUCUGUAAUCCAAGCUAGUGGGGAGGCUCAGGCAGGAGCAUCGCACAUGUGAGGCAAUCCUGGGUGGUUUGGUGAGACUCGGGAGGAAAUUAAAAUGUAUAAAAAUGGACUUGGGAUGUUGGUUAGUGGUACAGUGCUUGCCUAGAAUGUAAGAAACCCCAGGUUCAACGUCCAGCACUGGAAAAAGGAAAAGCCUCUAGUCAGUACAGAGUUGCCAAAUGGACAAGUAUAGAACUUUAACUAUUGCCCCCACCCCCUAUAUCAUGUGCACAGAAGCCAGGCUGUCAGGCUUUCCCAUCAAAUGUUGUGCCAAGUAACAGAUGGUAACAGAGGGGUAGCCCAGCAUUUUCUCUGAUUUGCUGGUAUAACCUUUGCUCUAGAGAUAUUGUGGGGCCUCUUACAACUGCAUAAAGGAUGCAUCUCAUAAUGACAAACAGCUGGAGCUGUUAAUUCAGGAUCCCACAAGUGGAACAGAAGGUCUCACCCUGGGGCUGAAAAAGGUAGCACAUCUAUUCCACCGACUGUGAUGCCUGUUGCCACCAUCUUGGUGGCCCAGCUCAGGAACUGUGUAUACAGCCAGAGCAGAAGAUCUCAGUAACAAGUCAUUUCUACAUGGGCUCACUCUGCAGGACAUCAGGUCCCCGAGAGCCAGACUUGCCAGGAGGAAGCUGAGCAACGCUCCUGCCUGCAUCCCCAGCAGCCACAGGCUGAUGCCACUGCAGCCAUUGAUUGCUCUUCCCCACACACUUCUGCUGGGUCACAGCCUCCUGCUGAGUGGGCAGAGGCUCGGUGGGAUCAUUGCUCCUGCCUCUGCAGCAGUGUCUCAGCCUGGGUUGAGCUCUCAUUCCUUUUUGGGGAGUUGUGUUUAUAGACGGUGUCUACCAUGCCACAGUCCAAGGAGUGCUGAGGCUAGCAUACUUCCUUUUGUUUUUCUUCCUUAGAGGAUGUGAAAGGCAUCUUGUGCAGGUGAGUCCAGUAUGAAUACAGGAAGGGAGGAUCCAGUUGGUCUGGGCUGAAUGGAGAGGACCACUGAGGAGUCUCUGCCUCUGCUUCUUCCAGGACUUGUGCUGUGAAGCUGGAAGCACCUGAGGCCUUUUCCUUGGAGGUUCAGACUGUGUUUGGUGCUGCUGAACUUUACAGGAAUAUGAAGAUGAAGUUAAUGGGUUAUCAAGCGACCUCAUCAAAAGAGAAUAGGAAGGGGAAACUAUCUCCCUAACAGACUUUCUGGAUGACAGCAGAGGCAUUGAUAGAGGAAGAAGCACUUAUGGCCUCAAAUCAAUCAGCUGGGCUGAUGAAACAGAUGACUGGGAAGAGGAUGUUUCAGCCAGAUGGCAGAGUGGGGAUGAGGAUGUGUAUGGGGUUCCUGGAACUGACCAUGUUGUCCUUGCCACCGCUCCAUGUGCUGCUCAGGAACCCAGUGUCGACUGGAGCUGUCUGCCCAAGUCUCUGCCCUACCCUGCUUUUCUUGGGAACCUUCCCAAAGAUCUGAUCAAAGAUUUGGUUAAGAACUUCUUUAGAGGAUUAAAUAUCAGGGUGGUGCAUUUACCAUGUGACCCCUGCAAUCCAAAAAGGUAGAAAGGUUUUGGUUCUGUUCAGUUUGGGAACUUGGAUUCCCUGCUCUGUGCCCUGAGUCUCAAUAAACUGUGUCUAGGCAAAAGAAUAGUUCGAGUUGGAUUAGCUGAUCAAGCAUAGCAAGACAGCACAUAGGAGCCUGACAAAACAGACACAGACUGGAGGGCCCGACCUGCCACAGACAGCUUUGAUGAUGACAGCCCACCCAGAAGCAGUGAUGAUGGCUUUGGAUGCAAGUAUCAAGACUGUUAUGAUUCAGAUAGUGGUGGGUAUCAGAAUGGCCUAUCCUGGCCUAUGAAUCCAUAUAGGAGCCGGGAUCAUUAGGGCCACCAAGGCAGCAGAGACUCUGAUAGAGACUGUGAUUCCAGAAUAGGCAAUGGCAGAAGAGCCCUCCAUAGUGAGUGCCAUAGAGAUAAUUACUACAAAGGAGGUGGAGACCAUGGUGAUGACCCAUAUGCUGACAGCUCAUGGGGCUCCAGAGAUGAUUACUAAGACAAUUCUUGGUGCAAUUGUAGAGGUCUGCCCCACAGACCCAGACUGAAUCUGAAACCUGGGAGUACUCCUAAGGAAAACGAUUCUUCCACCACCCCCUUCCAGCCCAGUCGAGCACCUUCCAUCUUUAGAGGGGUAAAGCCUGUUGACACAGCUGCUAGGGAAAGAGAAGUGGAGGAAUGGAUGCAGAAGGAGCAGGAGAGAUCUUCGUGGGGGCCAGAUAAUCCAAAACUAGAAUGGCGGUCAGGCUGGCAAAGGGAAGAAACUCAGGUAUAGGAAGGAAAAGUGAAUCACUGAAGACUGGAACCUCAGGCCCACCUGGCAAAAAUGCAUAAAGAAGAAAAAGAAGUCUCUAGAAAAUCAAAUACUCGGUAAGGUGGAAGAUUGUCACUCUUCAAUUUCUAAGCUUCCCCAAAGGUGAUCAGCUUCUAAAGGUAAUGCCAGCCACCCCACCAAAGGAGAAUGGGUGGUAAAGCACCAUCCUGCUCCAUCUCAGAGCUCUGGCACAGAGCAGAAAUCUCCUAGAGAUGGUAGUGGCUUGGAAGGUAGCUCCAACUCAGCCACCUGAAGAAAGACCAAUAAGGAAAAUUGCAAAUAAAAUGGAUGGGGUGUGUAUCCAAAAAGGCUAACCUGAGAACUCCUGUCAUAAUUCAGGAGACAGAGAAAAAAAAAAUCACUAGAAGGAGGUAGAUAGGAAGGAGGGCAAAGAGAAUCAAGACUCCAGCUCUGCACUUGUGCAAAGGAAAACAGGAAAAUCCAGCCUCCAAGUUCAGUUCUGCAAGCAGGUAAGCUGCUCUCUCCAUGAGUGGUGAAGAUGGAAACGAGGG